UCUGAGGUGAGUCAGCUAAAUAAACGUUUUAACAUCUUCUAAAGACAAUUCCCUACCUAAAUGCAAAGUCUGAGAGACGUGGUUCACUUCCUUUAGCUAGUCAGUCGGCAAUUCUGCAACAGUGACUAACUGACGCAGCACUUGUUGACAGCAUUACAGCGUGAAAUCCAGCUUGUGACCCGGUUCUGUGAGGAAUUCUGUUCAGGAGGUCGCAUUUCAGGCUCUCCACAUCAUAUGUGACUGACUUUUACGUUAUAACAACGAUCACACACUAGGAAUGUUAUAAAGCGCCUAUAUAGGAGAUUCUUUUGUAUAUUAUCUGACUAUAAACUCCAACAACAAUGUGCUUCUAUUUUUUUUUUCAGGCUAAAUCUACCCAAGACACUGGCUGUCAGACUGAUUUAGCUGCAUGAAUGUACUUGUCCAGGCUGAUGUGAAACCUUCCCUGUAGCAAAGCCAGCCAGAAUGGAGUUCACAGCCGCAGUGUGUCUGGUGACCCACGGGGACCAUGAUGAAAAUUCAUCUUCCAGAAGGUCCCAGAGCGUCCAGACCCCCUGAAAAGACCAAGGUGUGAGGUGUCUGCUGUUGAUUCCAGCUUCCACCUCAGUGACAGUGCAAGCUCAGUGAACUGUUCAAGCCUGGCUGAUCACCUGAUAACUCCUGUCAUCUGGUUAUGACAGCAUGAGGAUGUCCUCACACACCUGUAACCUAUCAGCUCAUCUGGCAGAAUAGAGAGAGAAGAGACAACACCACAUCUCCUGUUCCUGGAAAGCCUUCAGCCUUCCUUCGAUGACUGAGAACCUCCAUCAGCUCUGUCUCCUGUCUGCCUACAAUUAUUAUAAUAAAUAUUGUGUUUGACAA